GUUUGUUUCCGCGCCUUCCAAGCCUUGUUAUUUUUUGCUGGCUUCCUGCUUCCCCUCUUCCUGCUUGUGUUUUCUGCCUCUGUUUAUUGACCUCACGAAGGUUGGAUUUCCAUUUUCUGAAGGACCAUUGUGUGGCCCAAGCACCUUCCUGAACCCUGCUUCAUACCUGCUUGGCUCUGCCUUCAUCGCGCUCAUGCCCACGCAUGCAUCUUGAGCCCAUCAUUGAUGCCAGCUCUCAGUACAGCUGAGCAUAUGCUGAGAUCUCGUUAAUGGCAAUUAAACUGGAGCGCGUGGUUAAGUACCUUGCAGAAGGUAGCUGCUUUGCUGUGUCACUUCUUAAAGAGCAUCCCUGCCAAAUUUCAGAAUUUUAAUCUCUUCACUAUUGACUCUGGGUGCUGUCGGCCCGCUUCCUCCUUUUGUUGCAAUCUCUCCAUCUAAAGCAUGAUUUCUCUAACAAUGAGCGCUCUCCUCGCGAUGGGCUGAAGAGGAGCUGAGCUGCUGGCACGCGGGAGCCCACGCCAUGCUUCAGAAUGAGGAAAUGAAACUGCUGUGAACGCAUCCGGGGAAGAGAAGCCCCCAAGUUGCCGUGUCUGUGGGAGCAUCCCAGGCUUCUCUGUGAUGUGGCCACUCCAGCCAUGAGUCAGCAUUCUGAGAAUCCUGCUGCAAGCCAGGAGCCCACAGCCUUCUCCUGCUCAGCACACCCAAGCAGGAUGCAGCACCCAGACAGGCGUCUGACACGUCCAGGAUGGGGACAUCGAUCGCUCCGACCUUUGCAAAGCCCUGUAUGGAAAAUGAACGGCACUGCAGAGCACAGAAAAUGGCCACAGGAAACAAAUGUGGCUCCCAAGCUCACGGUUCCACCAGCAUCCCAGGAGCAGUGCCAGGCCAGGGAUGGGGAGGUGCGUGAAGAGCACUGCCUGUAUGCAGGAGGAAGGCUCAGAGCAGGGUGCUCUGCUCUCAGGUCCUAACACUGCCCUGAGAAGGUGCACAGAUACAAAAAGCACCACCAUGGGGUGAACUUCUGCCCCGAGGGCUUCUCAGCCCAGCCAUACAACAUCAGUUCCUGGCAGAUGGGAAAAUUUCUUUUCCUUCUUUUUCCUUUUUGAUUUUUCCUACCAUGCUUCUUGCUUUCAGCCUUCCCCUUUCAUGUCCUUUUAUGGAUUACCGCACACAGAGCCUAUGCAGCCUAAUAACCCUCCACACACACACACACAUAAUCCAAGCAACCCAUUCCCCCCCACCUAAAAGCUGGGAGGGGAAGCAGCAUUCCUUUCUGCUGGGUGUCUGCAAGCGUGGAGCCCUCCCAGCCCCACGCAGCCCCAGCUGGCUCAGUCAGCUGUAGAAAUGUGCACUCAGAUGCAAGGACGAGCACAGAGCGCCUGGGGCUGCCUGAGGAUGGCUCAUGGGCCAAUGCAGGCUGUGGGGAGCUCUCCUCUCCAGGCUGCUUCUUUGCCCCUUGAGAUGGGGACCAAGGCAGCUGGGUGAUGUCUACGACCGUCCUUGCCAGAGAUGCCCAAAGCAACAACACAUCAAUUCCACUUCUAAUUUUGGGGUUGUUUUUGUGGCACCCUAUCCUCACAAUUUCCACAGGUCUGUUUGACCCCAUCGAGCCCAUCUCAUCCAGAGGCACAGGAAAGAUUUUGCAUGGGGCCACAACAAUUCUGUGCUCAAAAUCAGCUCAGUGAAAUCCAUGGCAUUUCCCUUCCAUUAAAAAAAAGACAACAACCCACAGUUAUCUUCCCCAGAAGAGACAGCGGGUUGAUCUCACUUGAUCUUUUUUGCCAAAGACACACUACGUUUUAUCCUGUUUCUUAUUUACCCCCAUGUACCUUUGUGUCCUCACUGUUACUGUAUCCGUUACGUAUGAUUUUAGGCCAGCACAGGUGCAACAAGGUUGAAUUUUUCUUCCUCCUUAGCAGUGGGACAUUUGUUCUUCAGCCAGGUGCCACUAAUUAGAUUACAGCAGAUUUAUUAUAACUACUUUCCUCUUCACCCAUGCACCUGUGACCCCAUUCUCCCUCUCACUGCUCCUGCGUCCUUGCACGGGCUGCACAGGGAAGCCUCAGACACGCUCAGGGCACCCAGUCCUCCAUAACUAACAUGGAAAUCAGGCUACCGGGUUCUCCUUCUCUGAGGUUUGUUGUGAUUUUCCUGCCUGCUGCCUUGGCUGUGUCUCCAGGCGAGACGCCGGUCCCUCUCUGCAUGGCACAUGCGAGAUUGUCACCGCAUUUCAAAGUCACCAUUGCGAGCCAGACUCUGAUUUGGAUGAGACUUUCUUCCUCGCUCCUGCAGGGAAAUUAAUUUCUCUUAAAUGUGCUGAUGUGCAGAUAAUUUGCCUGUGGACCCAGCAGAUUUGCAGUCAGCAGGCUGCCUCGGUCAGUGCCAGAGAGCAGCAUGUCACGCCAGACCAUGUCUAACAUCUUCUGAGUGAUGGGACUUUGGUCUUGGAAAGGCAUCCAGUGCCAUCAAUCCCUCCCAAGCUCCUCCAGGGAUAGGGUGUGGGAGGACUGGGAGCUGCCAGUAGACCCUGCCAGCCUCCCCUCCACCACCCCAUGUUGCUCUUGGUGUGCACAGCCCCACAGCAAAAAGCUUUUUGCUCUCCAACCUGACACAUCUCCCAUGAGAAACCUGCAAAGCCUGGCUCCUGCAGACCACAAGACGGGCCUGACCGUUGCAGCUUGGGGAGAUGGCUGUGCUGACCCCCAGCAGAAAGGGGUCCCUCUGGAGAUCGUCCACGUGGCUGCAAGUGACAGCUCUGCAGAUAUCCUCGCCCAAGCACACCAACACGGAUGGGUCCUCUGGAAGCAGCAGCUGACUCUCAGCCAGGAAGCCAGCUCAGCAAUGCCCUCAAUGCUACCGUUUUUGGACUCUGCAAAGUGCCUCAUUGUAUCUGUCUCUACAGAUUUCCACUUACCCAGAUGGUUUUUGUCUCUACCAUUCUAACAUCUGGUGGAUGCUGCUUCCAACAUCACUAGAAAUUGACUCUUCCAGGCAUAUUGGGGUUCCCAUGUUCACAAGGAUCUACUUCACCCAAAGAGAAACCCUCAAAGGCGCAGACCCAGCCAAGACCUCCACUUGGAAACAGCAACCUAAGAAAUCCAGAGAGAUAGAGAUAGGGAAGAAGCUCUGAACAAGAAGGGAAAGACUUUCUGCUGACUGACUAUCCCAACCCAGACAUCGUCAGCACUGUGGUUGGUUCAAUGCCUCUUUUGGGUAGGGGUUUGUCCAAGAGAUGCCACCCAGCGCCUGAGCCACGCAAAGCUCUGUACAUUCCCCAUGCAGGGCUACUUGCAGCCACGCUGGAGCUGUCUGCUGCUCUGAGCCUCUCCAAAAGCUCAAGCAUGUGGGGAGAGUGUGAAGCACUGAGCUAAGGGCAAAUCCCUCCAUCAUGGGACAAUUGGAUGGACAAUACCUCUUCCAAGUCAGAUGGAUGGGGAUGGACCUUUCCAGAGAGGUGACCCCAUGGCAGACCCUCUCAGCCUUGGGUCUUCUCCCACCCAGCUUCCAGACUGACCCAACAGCUCACUGGCACCCAAGCAUCACCCCAGUUGCCUUUUCAGGGAGCAGCAUCCUCUGACUAGCACACAUUUUAACACCCACUCCUCCUGGAGGCACAGUGGGACUGAUUAAGCAUCUGUCCUGCAGAAAGCAGAGCAGACCUUCCCUAAUCUCAUACCAUCUCGCCUGGAAUGGACCCAGCCAGCAGUUUGCAAGCAGAGAGAGCAAACUGGGAAGUACUCACUGCUGCACCCAGCCUGAUUUUAUCUGACCUUGGAAGAAGGUCAGCCUGUGCUGCCCCUGCACAGAGCUGUGAAAGGCAAAUCCACAGUGUUCAGCAAAUCUCUUCGUCUAACAGGCUCAUUUCUUCUCAAGAAUUCAUUUUGGAGGGAUUCGGUGGCAUUGACAGAGGUGGCACUAGUAAUUUCGCUGCUCAUAUUCAGGAUGUAGCACUUCAUCCUUCACCCUACAAGUGGGUUAGCCUGUGAAUUGCUCUGUGCUUCAAGUUGCAGAGCCUGAAUUAUUUUGGCUGCGGGACAUGGGCUGUUCAGCAGAGCUCAGCCUCGAGAUUGCAUCGGGGCUCACCAGCAGCAUGGGGAGCUCAUAACUCCAGCACUGGUUUCAAGCACUGGUGGCUGCAAAUGACAAAAUCCUCAGAAAGCUUCAUGUGGGUGCCGGAGCUCCUGACAUAAGCUCUGAGGGAAGCUGAGGCCUCUUCCAACGCAGCACAGCAGAUGCACAGUAUGUCCCUGUUAAAAAAGAAGGGGAAGGAGACAAGAUGCUGCUGCUCAUUUUCCCUGACACAACUUGCUGCUGGGUGCACGUCCCCAUGCAGGGCCACCCAAGAAUGCUUCAAUCACAUGUUCCUCACACGUGGGUCUCACAGGGUUUGGGCAGACUGAUGCCCACAGCACAGAGCAAAGACCCAGGGACUGCCUUUGGCUACUUUAGGCUCCAGGCUGGGUUGGACCUGUUCUCAGCUCUCAGCAGUCUUCUAGGGGUGGCUGGAGCUGGGUGCAAAGCUAGACAGGCUCCUGGGGGUACCAAGGCCCUCAACUGUGCAGAUAGUGGAGGUCAGCAGCAUUCUUUGGACCCCCUCAACAUGCUGUGCCAGGGGAACCAGGUCUCCUCCAGCAGCUUCUGGGUAGAAAGCAGGAGAGCUGCAGGGCAGUAUCACUCCUGGGCCACCUGUCUUACUGG
ensembl:lncRNA